UACGUAGGGUGCGAGCGUUGUCCGGAAUUAUUGGGCGUAAAGAGCUUGUAGGCGGUCUGUCGCGUCUGCUGUGAAAAUCCGGGGCUCAACCCCGGACUUGCAGUGGGUACGGGCAGACUAGAGUGUGGUAGGGGAGACUGGAAUUCCUGGUGUAGCGGUGAAAUGCGCAGAUAUCAGGAGGAACACCGGUGGCGAAGGCGGUUCUCUGGGCCUGUACUGACGCU
rnacentral:rRNA from 1 species